UGUGCCAACCCCUCACCACUCUUUCUGAGAAGAGAUUUUUCCUAAUAUCCAACCUGAAUCUCUCCUGGAGCAGCCUGAAGCCAUUACCAUAACUGUUACUUCAACCUGUUCCUUGAGAGAGAGUACAUAGUCUCUCAUCCCAGUAGGGCACAACCGUGUCAAUUUCUCCCUAAGUUCUGAAUGGACAUGGGUCUUUUUCUUCCUGCCCCCAUGCUAGUUUUCAAGUCUUGUCUGAAAUGUAUGGUUCUUUUCACAGGAGUUUUUCCUGUAGACCUCAAUUUAUAUAAAUGAAGUAAUGAUGGCUCCAUGCAGGGAAGAUAAUCAAUGUCACUUUUCAGAUUAACAGUGAGAAAGACACGUCUGCAAAGAGCAAGUCUCAAAGGCUCUUUUUUCCCUCCCUGAGUGGGUGUCUGAUUAGAGCAGCUUAUCCCAUAUUAAGGCUGACACAGGACCAAAGAAUUUGCAUGUAGCUCAGGGUUCCCGGGUUGUGCAAGCCGCCCAAACAUGACAUCCCCUUUGAAGUCAUUAGAAGUUCUGCACCCAGCUGCGCUGGUUAUGGGAUGGAAUCACAUAUGAGGUUUGGCACAUGUCAGGAAAAAUGCUCUCACAGAGGCCUCAUAAAGCUGAAGUCUGUUUGCUGCAUCGCUGUUGAAAGGUCCGGGCCAUGUGCUGCGAGUUGAAUGGAAGAUGUUUGUUAUCUCCACAAAGUACCUGACAAGGUCGCUGUGUGUUCAGAAGGUCGUGCUGCUCAGCCCAUUCACAUCCACUUGAGAACAGAUACAUCCUCUGUCGGUUAAUUUUGGUGAGCUCUGAGGGUGCAGGCUACCCACACAACUUGCAAUCCUGCAUGAAUCUGAUUGGUUUUGACAUUCAUACUUCCUCUCUAGAUUAAGGUUUUGCAGCUCUGACCUACAUUCAUUGAGACAGCAGCUAUAGCUCUUAAUCAUCACAUAUUUGUUACUACUCCCCUGCCAGUCGCUUUCAACCCUGCAGCUAAGCAGAGCAGAGCUGCCAGACCUCGUGUACCUUGCUACAUGGCCAAUUUCAUCCUGGCUUCAAGCUAGGGCAUCAGACAGUGAUGUGGGAAGACCAGGGAGCCAGCAUCUGGGACUGCACUGCAGGUAUCAAAGAGGAAAGGGUGGCCGGACAGUAACCUCCUUCUCAGCCAUUUCCAGGGGUGUAUACUGCAUGGUCUGUGAGAAAGUAUUUCCUUUUUUCUGUGUGCGUUUCCCAUCUUUCAAUUUGCUGAAUAUUCCUUUCUUGUUUGGCAAAGAAGGAAAACGAGAAGCCCCCAAUCUCUCUUCCCCGCAUCAUUCCUCAUUGCCCACUCUCGUUUUCAGGAUCUCUCCUACUUUUCUGCUUUGAAGGGCAUAAAGUCUUGCUCCUUCAAUUCUGUCUUUGGCUGAGAAGAUUUCAUAUUUGUUAUGUUUAAGAACUUCCCCAAGCCCUUGUGAUGAUACCCUUUGUGAAAUCUGUCGACCAGUGAAUACACAGCAUUAUUCCUGUGUCUGCCUAAGGCUUGGUUGUUUGAAAUGUCUUAGAGUCUGUUCUUUUUCCAUCUUUCAGCCCACUCUUUAAACUUCCUAAUGUCUUGUCAACGUUUUUGAUUGCCUGUUGAGCUCUGCGUUGCCACCUGGGUCACUUUAUGAAACUGAGACAGUUAAUUUAGAGCCCUUAAGGUGCUUGAGAUGCUCUCAUUACGCCUCCAGCCUGGAUUACUUUACAUUUACUGACACCGAAUUUAAUUUCUGUUCAUCUAACUAGUUCAUGUCUCCAAAGAUAAUAGCAAAGAAUUCCGAGAGGGCACUUUACCAGGAGAAGCAUGGCUUUAUGUUCAUUACCAACCAGCCUGUGUAAUGAGGAAGAUGUCCUACGGAAAAGAAAAGUGCAAGCAGACUUCACUCAGAUGGCGUGCCGAGGUGAGAAGAGGGGACCUUCUGUUUUAGACGCUCAGAUUUCAUAUGCAAGCAAUAUAAUAAGGCAGUGCCCUUUGUGGCCAAAGGCGAUGUCACCAGGGUUAAUGAGGGAUGACUUCCAUUUGCAGGACUGGUGCUGAUGAACUGUCUGAGCACCCCGUCCCAACCUGACAGAUAUUUGUAAUGAAAUGCAUCAGACCGUAGUGCUGGCUUCCAUUUCCCAAUGUCUGUAAUACUGAGUCAAGCAAGAAAUGAAGGAUUUGUCCUAACCACAUAGAGAAAAUUUUUGUGUAGGAAUAAUCCUGGUGAAGGAUAUUCAUGCAGCACACGGAUCCAAAUUUUCACAUGGAUUUAUUAAGAAAGCUUUUCCUGGAACCAAAAAAAAAAAAGAGUCAGACAGACACUUUGGGCAUAAACACGUCUUUCCGGCAAUCUCAAGUGGUUCGCUCUCAGCUCGGAGAACACCCACUCCUCCCUGCUGUCUGGAGCAGAGAGGCCACGGGGGUGUUUCGUGCACUUUAGCGACUGUCUGCAGGGCUACAGCCCGCCGUGCACAGCCCAAGAGAUGUUCACCUUCUCACAUAUUAACUAACUGUUCCAGAAAGCAUCCAAAUAAUCAGCAAAAUGACAACUGUGCAUCCUUUUGUGAUCUGCUUUGCGGCAUUACGUUGUCAUCAAGGCGCCAUUAAAGCAGUGGCAUUUGGGAUGUGAGUGUGUCCAGGUUCGCAGCGAUCUUGCUCACUACAACCCUUCCACUUCCUCCAAUCAUUUGGAAACCUGGGGAGGAAAUGUGCAGCUCCCAGCUCCCUCCUUUGCUGGGCACCUCUCUCUGAGCAUCCCCAGCAUCGCUGAUGCUCUCAGGCCAACAGAGAGGCCACCCCGCGCUGCUGGACCUCCUGCCCUGCCCCACAGCGAAGCUAUUUUAGAGCCUGCCAAAUUCAGCAGUGUUGAUGCAUUCCUCAUCCCUCUCCCUGUAAUAUCUAGUUGCCGUAGUUACCUCAUGUAUCUAAGGCAACCAGAUGUUGCAGGCGAAGGUACUGAAAUAGCAUCAACAAGUGCGAGAAUGACAAGUGCUAUAACUCGCUGCCCGGAGCUAAGCUGUCCAGGGCCGGUUCCCUCCUAGGAAGGGGUCUCUAAAGAGCUGUGAGGGGAUUUUGGGAGCACGUGGCCAUCCUUAUCGAUUUUUGCAGGAAAAACAAAAUAAAUUAAGAAAAAAAAUCUAAGCUGGAGAAGGAGUAGCUAAGGCACGUUUUGUUUAAAUAAGCUGCGGAGGAAGAGGAAGGGUGGAAAGGUCCCAAACUAAGCACGGCUGCGUUAUGAGGAAAAUUACAGUGGAUCUGGUAAAGUGCUGCCAUAUUGCAGCACAAGCAUCAUGCUGCAGCUGCUUUCCUGCACCUCCCUCCCUCCUACAAAGGCUCCGACUCCAUGCGAGGGCCCAGGGAGAGCUCCGAGCAAUUAAUUCAGGUGGUAGGAGCACCCUCCCUCCCAAGGCUGUCAAAGCACAACUCAGGAACAACAGCCUUCCAGGGAACCUUUCUCUCCACCGAGGGAAGCAGGUGCUUAGUGUUACAUUAAUUUUAAACCCCUAAUUAGUGUAACUUGAAUCCUGGCCCAGUUCCAGGUUAAUUCAUUGUAUUCUUCCAAACAGAGCUCCCCGCUGGCUCUAUUUGCAUGCAGCAGGCUAGAUGCCCACCCACCAACACCUUUCCUUUGCUCUGCAUGUAGGGAAUGGAGUGGCAUAGAGCUGCCAUGGAGUUGGGGAUGUCACAGCCAGCUCCUUUGCCAUGAAUGUAGCAACAGCAGCAAAAGUGCCUGGGAAGCCUUCAGUGCUGUUGGAAGAUGUUAAGUAUGAGGAGUGGCCGAGGUCCCUGCAUUUGUUCAGCCCAGAGCAGAAGCUGAGGGGAAGCCUCAUGGCGGCUGCAGCUCCUCACAGGGAGCAGAGGGGCAGUGGCAAUAGGAUCUGAGAAGUUGUGGACGCCCCGUCCUUGGAGGCAUUCAAGACCAGGCUGGAUAUGGCAGCCUGGUCUAGUGGCUGGCAACAGCAGGGAGGUUGAAACUAGAUGAUCUUUGAGGCCCUUUUCAACCCAGGCCGUUCUAUGGCUCUAUGAAUGGCACGGGGCUGCAUCAGAGGAGGGUCAGGUGGGGGUUAGGAAAAGAUUCUUCACCAGAGGGCGGUGGGCAUGGAGCAGGCUGCCCUGGGCAGUGGGCACGGCCCCAAGUGCCAGAGUUCAAAGUGUGAUGGACACAGGACCACCCAAAAUACAAACCCUGUGUGGAGCUGGGAGCUGGACUCGGGAACUGGACUCAGUGACCCUCGUGGGACCUUUCCAACUUGGGAUAUUCUGUGAUUCUGUGAAGUGCAUUGGCCAGAGGUGGGAUGGGGCUGCAUGUGAACUAUGCCUUGGCCUGCUGCUGGCCACCACAGAGCUUUGGUGGUUGUUGGUCACCAGCACCGCGAGGGCCAAGGAUGUUUCGUGUCUUGUGAAUGGGGGGCCUGGCUGUGGGAUCUGGGGGGGGAUUGGAGAAGGACCUGGGCCUUUGUGGCCGCUGUGGCACCAGCUGGCAGCGCAGCUGCACACCGGUAUCAUAGAACCAUCUAGGCUGGAAAAGACCUGCAGGAUCCUUGAGUCCAACCAUCUGCCUGGCCUACAGAGUCCCAUCACUAAGCCAUGACUUUUGACAUGUAUGUCAUACCUGCUGCUGGCUCUGCAGAAUUUUAGCUGAGUAAGAGCUGCUGGGUCACCAAAUGUGCCAGGGCAGGGAGCAGUACAGGAGGAAUGAGGAAAAGGACUUUUGGCAUGUUUCAGCCAGGAUUUCAACUUGGCUGAGUUCUCAAGUGAUCAGAGACAUAAAAAUGUCAUUGUGCAGAGCUGGCUCCAGUGGUCGUCACGCCUCAAGUUGCGAGGUGAAGGUGAGGGGAGAGGAGGGCAUCAGGGGCACUGGGGAGGCGCUGGCACGGUCUGCAAAAUGUGAGAAGUAUGAUCACUUCUUGGGUGUUUACUGGACUGGACAGGAUGCACUUAAGACCUGUGUGAGCAAUUAAUGCUGAUUAGCAGUUCCCUCUGCUGGCUGAGCUAAUGAAGUUAUGGCUUCUGUCCUACAGAAGUAUUUCUGCUGCUGGAAGGUGCAGUUAAGCUGAGUGGCGUGGUAUCUCUGCACAUAAACUAAUGAGGACAGCCACAGAAAACAGUGCUGGGGGAUCUGUGCGGCAAACAAUAAAAGCAUAGCUCACUCUUCUGCCAUCAAAAUCCUUUCGGGUAAUAAAAAGAGCAGAGCAGCCAGGCCUGCUUGCUCUAGGAGUGAUCCUGACAUAUGUUUCCCCAGAUAAUUCAGAGCCACUGCUGAUGAUAAUUUGUGUUAGUUUGGUUGCUGCAUCAUCUCACAGGUUCGCGUGUGCGUACAGGCGCUGUUUGUGUGGGACUUGGAGCAAGGGUAGGAAUCUGCCCAUUGUUUAAUUUUUUAUAAAAUGUUACUUUAAGAGGCUGUGCAAUUUUUUUUUAAUGGGGCAAAAUACUUUUCCCUCCCCUUUUCUUCCUUUAAGAAAGGAAAAGACAGACCAUUAAUGAGUCUUCUGCAUCUCUCACAUGAGAUGGAGAUGUGGUGACUUACAUAAAACAAGUCAUGAGCCAAUUGUUAUGAAACUCCAAAGUCUUAAAUCACCGUGAAAUAGGAAAUAGAGGAAGCCCAUUUCAGGUCAGGUAGCUGGUAUCCGAGCUGCUUCCUUCUGUCCAAGCACCUCUCCAUGAUGCGGCUCUGCAGGAAAUGAGAGCUCACUGAGAAUCCGCUGUCUGCUCACAGACCUGAAAUCACCAGCUGGAGUCACAGCUCGCACAGUGAUCCUAGGAAAACAGCAUUACAGACAAAUGUGCUUUUCUUUCAUUCUAUGGAUUUAUGCAUUUGUUUGUUUUGAAUGUGACUCACUGAUUUUCUGUGCGCUUCUGGAUAUCUCUGUCUACUUCUUCUUCCUGUGGAGCAGGGCCAAUGCCAGCCCACCUGUGCCACAAGGCUGUACAAACAGACACAAGGAGGGUGUGAAACUAGGUGAUUGUUUUCACAUUUAGGGAAACUGGCUUGAAUCCUGUGUCUCCAGCUGCCGAAUGCUUUCCGCUAUGAGAUUCUUGUGGGUUUUUGUGAAGAGCUCUCACACCUUCUGCCUCUUGGCCACUCAGCGAGGAGGAGGGCUGGAUGCUGGACAGCCACUUCCAGCCCUGCCAGAGAAACCUGCUCCUGUCUGGCCAAAGCUGUAAAGGGUUUGAAGUACGGACUUGAACUCCUCGGGAAAACUUCUGCUAUACCCAAAGCAACAGCUGAACACAAGCAUCCCAUGCCCAGACCGGGCUUACUGUGAGAACAACUGGAUGCAGCCAGGGAAAGAAAGCGGCCCAGAGAGCGGCUGCGGUGGGAGGCGAGGACGGCCAAGCUAAACAAUGUCCGUCUGCUUCCACAUCCUCCUCCUCCUCCUCCUCAGGAACACGAUGGGGAGCAGCCGCCCUCCCACGUGAGCUGGGGUCAGGAUGCCCCGCUCAGCUCCCCGCUAUCCGGGGGCCAGAAACCCCUGCUAUGCCAGGCUCUGCCGACAUCGAGCCUCUGGGCUUCAGCUCACCCCUGUGCUGCUCGAGUGCUCCUGGCUGGGUGCGCUCUCGCUUUCUUACUUGAACCGUGGGAAUUUGCAUACAGAAAGCCCCGUUAGCCCUGAUCAAGUGACACUGACGUUGUGGUGUUAAGCGGCCAGAAGCAGAGGCAGUCAAGUCGUGAACUGAAUGCAUUUCCCUUCUAAAACCGAAACAAUUGGUGGUGUCACAGGAAUUUCUUAGUAACAUGUUCAUAAUAAUUGUAUAGUGUUUCUUGCUGGGCUUUCACCCAUACAUUAAAAUUGAAUUUCCGUGAUGGCAGGAAGCUUAGUGAAAGUAAAAUGCCAUGCCUUUAGAAAUAUGUAUUUCUACAUAAGGUACUGAACGUUAUUUACAGAUGCAUUAAUUCACCAUCACUGUUUGAAAUUCAUUUGAUUUAAGGUACUAUAAUUAUAUUAGCUAUUAGAUAAUAAUUUUAAUAGAUCUGCAAAAGAGCCCUCAUUCCCUGCAUGGUCCAAACUACCAGCUCCUCAAUAAAGACUGGGUUGUUGCUUGCUAAUGACCCCCAAAUAGUUCCCAAUUUGGUGAAGCCCAAUCAGCACUUAUCUUGCUUAUUGCUUUAUGCUCUGGGCUACUCGAGCCGCUAACACCACUGUUUUAACUGGGUUCGGAAGUUUCAUUACAGCAGACGGAGAAGUGAGAAACUGGGGAAAUCCCAAGUAGAAAUACAUUCAUGACAAGUGUUGCUUUCGUGCACGCACACACAUCGAUCUCAGUCAGAUGGGGAAUUCAGAGGUCCCAGUGUGAAAGCUCAGAAGUGUCGCUUUGCAAACGUGGCAGCUCUCAUACAUGGGCCCCCCCGCUCCCGGCAUCAAAAUGAAAAGUGCCACGCUGCAAAUAUGGUGCACUGUGGUGUGCGGCACUGAGCCAUUUCAGCCACCGAGUCCGUGGGUUGUUUCUUUGGUGGGGCAUGGGAUGGCUACAUGCAGAUACGUGAAAUCUAGUCUAAAAGAAGCAAUUUAGAGCUCUCAAUAACCAAUACUGGAAUCAAUUGCUCCUUGGGAUUUGCCGCUGAAUUAACUCCUAUGCUGUAAGCAGGAUUUUCAAAUCUUUGGGAUGGGAGGAAGCUCACUCUGAGAUGCUCACAGUCAGAAAAUAUCCAAAUAUACACAGAGAGAGACUAGGAGGAAAACCAAACAGAGAAUAGGGAUAGGGAUAAAUAGGGAUAAAGGGAUUCACCAGCAGCAGCAAGGAGGAGGUGAGCUGCAGGAUAAGGGUCUUGUGGAUGCUUUGGGAUGUUCUGUCCCAUGCUGGGGACCUGUAUGGAUGAGCGUGUGGAGGUGGCUGCGCUAGCAGUCUGAUGGAAGAGCACUUGGGUCUGGAAAUGGCAACAGAAAAUGAGAGCGAGGGGAGCAGGAGGUGCUUGGCUAAGGAAGGUGAGGCGGGAAGGCCCAGGCAGGCCGAGGGAAGAGGAGGAGGCUUUGUGGGACGCGAAGGUGUGGUGAGAAACUUGCGUCGUGUUUCAGAAAACAACACGCGCUGUCCACAAACCUGAAUGAGAACAAAUUCUGAAGAUCAUUUAAAAAAUAAAACAGAAUCUUCGAGAGCAAAGCUGUACUUAAUUUGGUUAUAAUCCUUUGAAUUGAGGUAUAUUUCAACUCGACUGAAGACUCCUGAGCACCAUUCAGAGAGGAAACCCGAUCACUUUUGGCAGAGGGAAGAAGGAUUGCCUGUUAGAAGUAAAUUCUCUCAGCUGGCACGUUUAUCACCGGAGAUCAAUGCAAACCAGAGGAUAAAUAAAAGCAGAUUUUGAAAAUGAGCAGGCAGACGUUCAGGCACCGAAAAUCUUUUUAUUUAGUUAUUUUUUUAUUUUUUGGAGAGGAGAGGAAGAGGUUCCUUUUGUUUUUCUGCCUUGAAGAAAAUUAAAUUGAAAUGCAUUUUAUUGGCAGGUCGGUAUCGUGUUUGCAGUCCUGAUAAAUCAGUGGACAGCACAGCAGAGGUCUUGCACUCGCUGCCCUGCCAGACCUAUUAGUUUGCCUCGCUCAAUGCAGACACUCAAGCAGAGCCUGUCUUCCAAGGCGGGGCACAAUGUUUGCUUUAACAGGAAGCACGUGGUCCAGUUCUUAACUUCAUCGCAGGACUUGGACGGGACUAAAACUGCCAAACAGCGCAGUGAUGACUUUAUAAAAGAAAUUGUAUUUUCCCAGGAGACUUGGUAUUUCUAAGGAAAGGAGAGUAAAAAGCAUGUUUGUUUUUAAUUUGGUUUUAAGCCAUCUCCUGUGCUCAUGCUCAGAGCCACACCCUCCCUGUCCCCACUAAAAUGGCCGGCCCCUCAAGCUGGCAUCCCCAUAGAUGCUGCCGUCUCCCCUUUCUCAAAAAGCUAAUGAAAUCAACGCCACCAGGUUUUCUGCAAUGCUACUUUCCUUACUGGAGACAGGCGUGAGGCUGUUUUCUUAAUGUCUCUCACUGGCCACCUCAAAGCACCCUGCAUUUUUAUGACGCUGAUAAAAAGAAAUGACAAGGGCUGAGCCACCAGGACACUGAGAUCAGGACAUCUCGCACUGAUGGAUAUCUCCUCAUCGCCUCCGUGCAUUUCCCCACUGACUGACUGCUGUGCCCAGCCUCACGCCCGUGCUGCACACACGCCGCCCUUUUGUUCUGUGUUUGUGCCGAGUAUAAUGGAACCCACAUCCUUGCCUGAGAUCUCAAAGACUUUCUGUAAUUAAACACUUGAGGCAACAAGGUGAGACUGAAAGACAUGUAAUUGCCAGAGAUUUUCUUCUUGUAAUUCUUGAAAAGUGGGACAACGUUUACUGGCUUCCAGUUGACUGGAACCUCUCCAGAUAAUGGACAAUAAUCAGAGGGCCAUACCACGAUAAGACGGUCACGGUACGGAGGACAGUCUGACUAAUCAUACACGACCCUUCCAACGUGGAUGGACCUUUAUUCACAUGAUUGUUUGCUCAUCUAUCGAGUUCCACAUCCUUGUACCUUGUAUAAAGACACCUUGGAGGGUGAGGUAGGUAUGGAGGGGACUUUCCUGCUGCCCCAGGCAGAAAUCUGCUUCCGUUCCCUUCUGUCUCUUAGGUCCCCUCCUGUCUGGCAGCAGAGGGUAAGGGAUCCUUUGUUUCUUGUGUUGUGAACAGCUGACACAUCUGUCUCAGGGAUGGUAGAGCACAAUCCCACCAGCUGAUCCAUUCCAACUCCCUGCUGCCCCUCAGCCUGCCUACCUCCUCCCUGGAGCUCUCUCUCCAGGCUGAGCAGUUCUCCCUGGGCACACCUCCCACAGGUGUGCUUGCUGCUGACAACAGACACCAGUAGGCAGCAGGGCACACCCUGCAGCCCAAGACCAGGGUGGGUUGGUUUCUGCAGUUGGAGAGGCCACAGGGGACACAGAGGGCAUGGCUUUCUGCCAGAGGCCCUGAUCAAUGCCUUGGCCACUGCACAAAUACAGAGGAAGGCUCAGUCGUGGACAGGGUUGCUCUUAAGUUACACUGAGGCUGAAACUGGAAGGACCGGGAUAUCUGGCACAACUCACAGCAAGAAAACAUCUUCUGGGCUAAGAGAAGAUUUGUUAAAGGAACGCCUUUCAAAGACCAUCAGAAGGCAUCUCAUUGGUAUGUAAUGGAGCCACUCUUCAUUUUAGAAAAGAAACACAGCUGGCCUCAAAAUUGGACACCACUGCCAAAAAACCAAACCACCCGACUGGAAGAGGAAAAGCAGAAGUUUGUGGUACUCUAGGGAUUAAGGCUGAAUACCGUCUGCGUUGAGGACAGUACUGGGGAUGCACCCAUCAUUUUUUGUACAACAGUUUCCCACUUCAGGUUUGCUCAACUUUCCGAUUUUGGUACUAAACGCCAAAUUCAACGCACUGGCCUCUCAAAGAUCUCUGAAGUGGGGCUAUUUGUUUCAGAAGGACCAGGAAUUUAUUUAGAUUCCGUUUCCCUUAGGAGGUAUCAACUCUAUUUUUUAUUGAUCUACUUUUUAUUUUUUUACCAGAAUGAUUUUUGUGGUGCUUUUCCUCAAAUAUCCCAGAUUGUAAGCCAUCCCACUUAUGUGCUAUAAAGUCCUAAUAAAUAUAUAUCAGACUUAAAAAGCUUACACAAGUGUCAUUAUUUCAGUGCAACCUACUCAUUCUUCAGAAUUAGAAAAUGAGAAACAUCUCCAGUAUGAAACAUCUACCCAAGAUAUUUCCAGUUCUUUGUUCUAUUUUCAAGAGGAUCGCCAAAUGGAGAAGUCCCGCGUUAGCAGCAUGGAUUUACACCUGAGCUGAAUACUGGACGUCCACAAAGAGCAAACAUUAAAGCCUUCAAGGACUGAUAAUUUGAACUAUGAGCUCCUCAACAUAAAUAUAGGCAUUGCAGGAGACAGCAUGGGGAAAAUGAGGGUUUUUUCUUUGGAUUUAUGUAUUUUCACAACCUACUUUAACUGAAUGGCAGUGUGUAACGUCUGGUCUGGAAAGCAUUCUUGCAUUAUUUUCAGGUUAAUGUAAGCUGUGGAUUCAAACAGCAGUGGUGCACCGAGGUCAGCUGAAGCUUGAGCAUUUUUUUAACAGCAACAGUGUGUGCCCUGAGCCAGUCAAAGCGUGCAGUGCUGGAGUCAAAUGAGCAGUAGCACUGACUACCCAACACCUCAAGUAAUACUGUACAGCUGAGGAGCUCUUUUUUUUUUUUUUUCUUGCUAGACCUCAUCUCAUCCAUAGGCUUGUAAUGGCAACUCCCAGCCUGGAGGAAGACCUCUCAUCGUGCAGCCCAGCUUGCUGGCUAAAACCUGCAAAGUCCCAGAGUUGAGAAAUCAGCUCUGGCAGUUGCAGCAGCUGUUCCUCUCUUGAGGCCUUGCAUAGUACGUAAGCCACACAUGGCAGGAGAGGGGUUUCCCCGGCUGUAGCUAAGAUGCUUAGGCUGUGGAGAAUGCCAUGCUCUGAGCACUGACAGCGACUAUUUUGCACAGUGAUGGUGAGAGCUAUGUGUCUAAUUUGGGCAGCACAGAUGGGACUCUUAAGACAGCAAGAGACUGGCACUACCAGCAGAGGGAAGGGAUAAUGUGUUCCUUCUGCAGCAGAGAUUUCACAAGUGACUCAUGACUCUUCUGCAGCUCAUGCUGGCAUCACUUGGUCUUUCUAACCGUGACUGCACAUUUUAAAGGUCAGGAUGUAAUGCUUCUUUUCCAAGAACCUUUGAGUCCAUAUUGGUGAGGGUUUUGUUCCGAAGGUCAUUCGGUGCACACAGUAGUUCCUUAUGAUCUAACCAGGAGCUUGUUCUUCUCCUGCUGGCACAAGUAUAGAGGUGAUGAAAUAAUCUAGCCAAUAAAUCUCUCAGGGUAGUUUGAUUCUUGGGUCCUCAAUGCACACAUAAUUAUCAUGUUCAUGACUAACAUCAAGCGGGCCUCGUGCUUGGGCUCUGGCGUGUCUGAGCCACACCUACAUUCCUCUUGCAGGCCCUCAUUUAAGAGCAGAUUUCAAUUAACUAUGAUCAGAUGUUUAAGGUGGCCUAGGUCUUUUAUUUUGUGUGUAGGUGUUUAAAUUUCACUGCUUUACACUUAAGGAUGUAGUUCACUGCAAACUAGAACAGAGGCUGAUUCGGGCAUGUGCUCGAAUGGUCUCAAAUAGGACUUCCCAUGACAGCAAAACCGCAGCGCUGGCUGAACUGUGCAUGCAGAUUGUCCACGUGCAUUGUGAAAGCUUACAGCAAUGGUUCUACUGUGAUUUUCCACAUUCACUGGCAUUUCACCACUGUCCUCUGCAAAAUUUGAUAGCCCAAAGCUGAAUGCUUAUAGAAAUUGCAUUUGUUCUCCCCAGAAUGAAU